rnacentral:rRNA from 1 species
CGGGGCUUAAAGUCUUGUAAUUGGAAUGAUGGGAAUUUAAACCUCUUCCAGAGUAUCAAUUGGAGGGCAAGUCUGGUGCCAGCAGCCGCGGUAAUUCCAGCUCCAAUAGCGUAUAUUAAAAUUGUUGCAGUUAAAAAGCUCGUAGUUGAAUUUCUGCUGCAUUGCUUGUGUCCCUCUGGGGUCUGUGCAUGUGGCUUUUUUCGGACGGAGUUUCUUUGUCUGAAUGUUUACUUUGAGAAAAUUAGAGUGCUCAAAGCAGGCUUUCGCCUUGAAUAGUUUAGCAUGGAAUAAUAAAGUAGGACUUUGGUUCUAUUUUGUUGGUUUUAGGUACCAAAGUAAUGGUUAAUAGGAACAGUUGGGGGCAUUCGUAUUUAACUGUCAGAGGUGAAAUUCUUAGA